AUUGAACGCUGGCGGCAUGCUUUACACAUGCAAGUCGAACGGUAACAGGCCUUCGGGUGCUGACGAGUGGCGAACGGGUGAGUAAUGCAUCGGAACGUGCCCAGAGGUGGGGGAUAACGCAGCGAAAGCUGUGCUAAUACCGCAUGUGAUCUGAGGAUGAAAGCGGGGGACCAGGCAGCAAUGUUUGGCCUCGCGCCUUUGGAGCGGCCGAUGUCAGAUUAGGUAGUUGGGGGGGUAAAGGCCUACCAAGCCGACGAUCUGUAGCUGGUCUGAGAGGACGACCAGCCACACUGGGACUGAGACACGGCCCAGACUCCUGCGGGAGGCAGCAGUGGGGAAUUUUGGACAAUGGGCGCAAGCCUGAUCCAGCAAUGCCGCGUGCGGGAAGAAGGCCUUCGGGUUGUAAACCGCUUUUGUACGGAACGAAAAGGCUCUGGCUAAUACCUGGGGCUGAUGACGGUACCGUAAGAAUAAGCACCGGCUAACUACGUG
rnacentral:rRNA from 1 species